AUUAUGUUUUUAUAAAGUGCUCUGUUUAAUAUAAUGUGCCGUAAGUUAUUUUGUAUCCAAAUAUUGAUGUAGUUGACAGGGGGAGACCAUGUCUUGCAAUAAAUCGUAACAAUACUUGAUUUUUAGUCAUGUGUAGAUUACAUCAUACUUAUAUACAUGUCGAGCACAACUACUUUUUACAUGACUUGGAUGCACAAUUAUCAUGUUCAUGAUGUUUCAUAAUGCUCAUUACAACAAUAAAAAAAGAAAAAUGACAAAAUAAACGAAAAAAUCGCUUUUAGUUUAAAGAAACAUUUUAUUUUGUGUGGUUUUGAUGAAAUUCAUUGUCAAA
rnacentral:lncRNA from 1 species